rnacentral:rRNA from 1 species
AUUGAACGCUGGCGGCAGGCCUAACACAUGCAAGUCGAGCGAGCGGCGGACGGGUGAGUAAUGUCUGGGAAACAGCCUGAUGGAGGGGGAGAACAACUGGAAAAGGUAGCUAAAACCGCAUACCAUCAGAUGUGCCCAGAUUGGAUUAGCUAGUAGGUGGGGUAACGGCUCACCUAGGCGACGAUCCCUAGCUGGUCUGAGAGGAUGACCAGCAAAACUGGACCUUGGACACGGUCCCGAAUCCUGCGGGAGGCAGCAGUGGGGAAUAUUGCACAAUGGGCGCAAGCCUGAUGCAGCCAUGCCGCGUGUGUGAAGAAGGCCUUCGGGUUGUAAAGCACUUUCAGCGGGGAGGCGUUACCCGCAGAAGAAGCACCGGGUAACUCCGUGCCAGCAGCCGCGGUAAUAC